UCUGGUUCUUCAUCCACAUCGAAUUGUGUUCUUAACAUCUCUGAUUUCUUCAAUUCCGAUGAAAUCUUCCAAUUCUCCUCUGAUUUGAUGCCAACCCAGUCGUCGUCUGUGUCUUCAAACGACGAUUUCUUUGGAUUUGAGAUGAAACCUAACGUUAUCGAUCUAACAACACCGAAAUCGACUGAGUUAGUUGAGUUUGAGAUGAAACCUAGAGUUUUUGAGGAUUUUAAUUCGAGGACUCGGUAUAGUAAUAGUUCGAUUGAAGUUGAAUCGAAGAUUAGUCAGGUAACGAAUUCGAAUCGGAAACGAGCGAAUUUAAAGAUCUCCCUUCCGAAUAAGACAACGCAAUGGAUUAAU
rnacentral:lncRNA from 1 species